UGGGGUGUAAGAUUGGUUUGCAGGGGAAAAAAUGAAGAAGGCUUUGCAGCAAAGAUGAUAGGUCAGCCUCAGUGCUGAAUGUAAAUUGUUUUAAUAUGAGCAGCCAUGCUCUGAAUGGUUUAGUUACACCCUCCUGACAGUUGCAGUUUAGGAGAAGUUGUUUACUGGAGCUGCAAGGCAGCAAAGCAGCCCCUUGGUGAGCAGAGCAGGGAAUUUUAAUGCCCACGUGGCACUAGAGAUGCUUUCAAAAUGUUUUUACCCUUGAAUAGCACAAUCUCAGCCUUCCUCUUCUUUGCUACUGUCAGUUUGUUGCCUCUGGGAUUUAUCCAGAGCUUGGUACAGGUCCUAAGCCAACUGCUUUUGGGAACUAAAGGUGGAACCAUGAUACUUUGCAUCAAGUAUUGGGUUAAGUAGUUUUUCUCAUCCUCCCCCCUGCGUACUGAGGCGUACACAAAGCUGCCAUGGCUGUGGGACUUCUGAAACUGGAGCUUUGGGGAUGAGUGUUUGCUGGUUAAGCCACCCAGCGUGGAUUUUCUGCUUUUAGCUCUGUGCUGUUGCCUUGUGUCACUCCACAAUUAACAAAUCCAGCAGAGGAGCGUUAGUGAUGGCAGCUCCUCUGUAGCAACAAUGUAAAAGCAGCAUGACCACGACUCUGGAUACAUUAACAUCCUUCAGUUGUGCUUUGUGGUUAGCUGCUAUUAUCCAAAAUGACAUUAAUGCAUCUUUAGAGUGCAACAAGGAACUAAAGUGCUAUCCUGCUCCCUGGAGAACACUAAGAGAGUAGGAACCCUUCACUUUCUCCUCUGUUUUGAUUGCCAAAACUGCCUGCUUAUCUCAAAUAUGGCUUUUUCCCCCCAGCUGUCCUGUACCACUGGGUUUUGUGUCAGGGCAGCGCUCCUGUAAGUCUUCCCUUGUGCUAGAGUUGAAGAAAACAGAGAAUCUUUUGUGGAGCCCUGGCAGAUUGGAACAAACCAGAGGCGCAGCAGUGUGAGCAGGUACAGUGCAGACACUUGUAUUCACAUUAACCAUCUUACACGGCAGGUUACUGCAGCAUGAUGGAGCGCCUGUGGAGAAGAGGUUAGGAUUGCAGAGCAGAGGGAGGCAGAAUAUGGCAACUCUUAAAUCGCCCCCAAAACUUCAGUUCAAGAUGUUCUUUCCCAAUAGCAAUUGAUUAUUGUGAUCUUUUAGUCUUAUCACAAAGGCUUUGAAGAAGCCCCCACACAAGGAACAGUGACCAGAGCAUUACAGGUGGGUGAGCACCAGCACUGUCAAUACAGGAAGAUUUUAGCUCCAUCUGCUUAUGCCUCUUUUUUUGGCUUUUACAAGCUGCUUUCCCCUGCCCUCUGCUUGUUUGGAGGUUCUGUAAAGGUGUUUAAAAUAAAUAUAU
rnacentral:lncRNA from 1 species